UCCCAGACUCCUACGGGAGGCAGCAGUGGGGAAUAUUGCACAAUGGGGGGAACCCUGAUCCAGCGACGCCGCGUGAGUGAAGAAGUAUUUCGGUAUGUAAAGCUCUAUCAGCAGGGAAGAAAAUGACGGUACCUGACUAAGAAGCCCCGGCUAACUACGUGCCAGCAGCCGCGGUAAUACGUAGGGGGCUAGCGUUAUCCGGAUUCACUGGGUGUAAAGGGAGCGUAGACGGCCGUGCAAGCCAGGAGUGAAAGCCCGGGGCCCAACCCCGGGACUGCUCUUGGAACUGUGCGGCUGGAGUGCGGGAGGGGCAGGCGGAAUUCCUGGUGUAGCGGUGAAAUGCGUAGAUAUCAGGAGGAACACCGGCGGCGAAGGCGGCCUGCUGGACCGCGACUGACGUUGAGGCUCGAAAGCGUGGGGAGCGAACAGGAUUAGAUACCCCCGUAU
rnacentral:rRNA from 1 species